GUCGUCGUGGGCCAUGGAGGCCGCCCCCACGCCAUGACCGGAACAUAUUUGAUCGGGGGAGACGGAGGUUCGAUUCCUCCCGACGACA